AUUGAACGCUGGCGGCAGGCUUAACACAUGCAAGUCGAGCGAGCGGCGGACGGGUGAGUAAUGUCUGGGAAACUGCCUGAUGGAGGGGGAUAACUACUGGAAACGGUAGCUAAUACCGCAUACCAUCAGAUGUGCCCAGAUGGGAUUAGCUAGUAGGUGGGGUAAUGGCUCACCUAGACGACGAUCCCUAGCUGGUCUGAGAGGAUGACCAGCAACACUGGAAAUGAGCCACGGUCCAGGCUCCUACGUGAGGCGGCAGUGGGAGAUAUUGCACAAGGGGCGCAAGCCGGAUGCAGCCAUGGCGCGUGUGUGAAGAAGGCCUUCGGGUUGUAAAGCACUUUCAGCGAGGAGGCGUUACUCGCAGAAGAAGCACCGGCUAACUCCGUGCCAGCCGCCGCGGUAAUAC
rnacentral:rRNA from 1 species